GGGCUGGUAACUCAGUGGUAGAGUGUAGGACUGCAGUUUCCCCAUGAAUUCAUUUCCCGAAGUCACCGGUUCGACUCCGGUUCAGCCCU